UCUGACCCUGUUCCAGUUCUGGUUUUUGGUUUGGUUUUUUUUUUUUUUUUUUUUUUAAAGAUUUAUUUAUUAUAUGUAAGUACACUGAAGCUGUCUUCAGACACUCCAGAAGAGGGCGCCAGAUCUCGUUACGGAUGGUUGUGAGCCACCAUGUGGUUGCUGGGAUCUGAACUCCUGACCUUCGGAAGAGCAGUCGGGUGCUCUUACCCACUGAGCCAUCUCACCAGCCCCUUGGUUUGGUUUUUAAGCUAGCCAGGUGCGAUAGUUCCUUUACCCGCAGGACUCCUAGCUCCAUAGGGAGUUCCAGACCUGAUCUUUUUCAAACAAACGCAAAUGGAGUCAAGAGUGUGCACACCUGAGACCCCCAACAGCACUGGAAAGGCAGAAGCAGGAGGAGGCUAAGUCGUACAUCAGUCAGCCUGGCCUACACAAUGUAGUGGAACUCUCAAGCAAAACCAGAGCAGUGCACAAGAGCUGGACAUGGUGGUCCUUGUCUCUAGGUCCAGAGACUAGGGAAGCUGAAGGAGGAGCCUGGGUAACAGGGAAAUGCCAUCUGAAGAAGGAAAGACAAGCCUGCCUGCAGAAAGUCAUUGCAUCAACUACAUAAAGUGGAGGAUGGUGGCACUAAGGCCACUUUACCACCUCACCAAGCAGAAGCUCCUGCAGGUGGUAGUCUACUUCUGUAACAGUCGCUCCCUGCUUUUACAGCCUUGCUACCUGACACUGAGCCAUUCUAAGACCAGCUUGAUCUAUCCAGCAAGAUGCUGUCUGCCUCUGCCCUCCUGAACCCCUUUGUGUAUUCCUGGGAUGUCACUAAUUUCCCCAUGCUUUACAUAAUUCACCCUUCAGGUCCAGGAAGCCUUCCUGACUUCCACCUUCCAAUUCAUCCUCCCACUUCUGUAUUCUCAUGUUUUGAGCUUACAGGAUUUGUCCACUUCCUUUGCCUGUCCUGUACAGGACUUCUUCCGAGCCAAACCUACCAUGUUCAAGAUUUUUUUUUUUAAGAUUUAUCUACUAUUAUACAUAAAUACACUGUAGCUGAUUUCAGAUGCACCAGAAGAGGGUAUCAGAUCUCAUUAUGGGUGGUUGUGAGCCACCAUGUGGUUGCUGGGAUUUGAACUCAGAACCUUUGGAGGAGCAGUCAGUGCUCUUACUGAGCCAUCUCACCAGCCCAAUCUUAGUCCACCAGCUUGUGAAAGAUCAUAGCUAGGGCUGUUAAUUACUUACCUUCAGUCACAGGUGGUAGGGAGGCUCUCAGGACUGUUCAACCCAGGAUCCAGCCAGCCAUGUAACCCUGCCCUAGUUGCAUGUAGUCUUUUGCUUGCUGGGAAUAAACUGGCGUCAGAUUCAGAUUCUCUGGGGAAAGGAUGAAGGAGGCACUCCACAUACAUAGCCUUCCGGGAGCUAUCUUUUGAUGCAGAGCUUGCCUUUGGCUAUAACUCUUCACCCAUCUUUAUGCCUAAUUAAAUGCAUUGCUGCCCAGGAGAAAUCUGUGAUAUAAUUCUACCUUAGGGUGCUGUUGGAACAUCAGGAGUAGGGGUAACUAUUGUAUACAUCUUUCUCAGGAGUAAUUUAGCAACAGCCACUAGAGUCCUUAAGGAUGAGUAGGGCUUACUUUCCUAUCCGCCUGGUUCAUGCCCAGCCCUGUGACUACUUGUUUGAUGACCAGAGACAGACCACAGUGUAAAAAGCUGAGUGACUGUUUUAGGCAUCCUGGUUUCUAUUCCUUCUCUGGCUUCUGCAAGGAAAACAUGAAAGUGUCUUUGGGAAAGUCAAGCAAAGCAUGAGCUGCAUGCUAAGGCCCUGUGGUUGGCUUAACAUUCUGUUCUGUGUACCCCCACUCCCUGACUUAAGGUGCUGGGGUGCAAACCUAGGGACCCAUAUUCCUGAAAGAAAGACCCUCAGACAGUAAGACUGGCUUCAGAAUAGUCAAUUUGGGGAUAAUGGUUAUUUUCCUCUGCAUUUGGUUCCCAGCACACCCUCACAAACACCUGGCUUCUGUACUGUACACAGAGAAAGAACUAAAUCUUUUAAAAAGUCAAUUUUGGGGGGCUGGGGAGAUGGCUCAGCGGGUAAGAGCACUGACUACUCUUCCAGAGGUCCUGAGUUCAAAUCCCAGCAACUACAUGGUGGCUCACAACCACCCAUAAUGAGAUCUGACGCCCUCUUCUGGUGAGUCUGAAGACAGCUACAGUGUACUUAUGUAUAAUAAUAAAUAAAUCUGGGCUUGAGUGAGCAGAGUUGACCAGAGCAAGCAGAGAUCCUAAAAAUUCAAUUUCCAACAACCACAUAAAGACUUACAACCAUCUGUACAGCUACAGUGUACUCAUAUACAUAAAAUAAAUUAAAAAAAAAAGUCAAUUUGGUUUUAUGGUAAAGACCAGGCCUGUGAACCCAGCACACAGGAAGGAGGAUCAGGAGUUCAAGGCCAGUCUAUGCCCCAUAGCAGUUUCAAGAGCAUUUUGGUCUAAAUGAGACCCUGUCUCAUGAUCAGUGAGAUGGACCAACUCCUAAAAGCAGCUUUUAGAACCUUAGAGCUGCUGUUGUAGCAUAUGCCUUCAAUCCCAGCAUUAGGUAUACAUGGUGCACGUACAUACAUACUUGCAGGUAAAAGAUCCUCACCAAAAAAUGUUAAAACUCUCCAAAAGGCCAGGUGUGGGGGCACACACCUAUGAUCCAAGUGCUCCUCAGAGGCAAAGGCCAGCAGAUCUGAGUUCCUGCCUGGCCAGGGCUGCACAGCAAGACAUUGUGAAGGUAAAAGGUGACCAGAAAAGGGGAUCAAAUCCCCUGGAAUUAGAGUUACAGGUAGCUUUGUACAUAGUGGGACUUGAACCUGGACCCUCUGGAAAGCAGCAAGUGAUUUUAGCUGUCGAGUCACUGAGGUUUUCUUUUUUGUUUUUGUGAGACAGUCUCUCUACAUAGCCUCUGGCUUCACUUUGUAAAUCAGACGGCUUUAAACACACACAGGGCAGGUGAGAUGGCUCAGCAGAUAAAACAGCUUGUUGCACAAGCCUCAGGACCUGAGUUCAAUUCCCAGAACCCAUGGAAAAGAUGGAAGGAGAGAGCUGACUUGACAAAACUGUCUUCUGACCACUGUACACGGACUGGAGCCACGGACUGCAUUGUACAGGAAAAUAAAACAAUUUGUAUG
rnacentral:lncRNA from 1 species